rnacentral:rRNA from 1 species
GAUCCUGGCUCAGGAUGAACGCUAGCUACAGGCUUAACACAUGCAAGUCGAGGGGCAGCAUUCCAGUUUGCUUGCAAGCCGGAGAUGGCGACCGGCGCACGGGUGAGUAACACGUAUCCAACCUGCCGAUAACUCGGGGAUAGCCUUUCGAAAGAAAGAUUAAUACCCGAUGGCAUAAUAGAACCGCAUGGUUUGAUUAUUAAAGAAUUUCGGUUAUCGAUGGGGAUGCGUUCCAUUAGGCAGUUGGG